rnacentral:rRNA from 1 species
UACGUAGGGUGCGAGCGUUGUCCGGAAUUAUUGGGCGUAAAGAGCUCGUAGGCGGUUUGUCGCGUCGAAUGUGAAAACCCGGGGGCUCAACCCCGGGCCUGCAUUCGAUACGGGCAGACUAGAGUUCGGUAGGGGAGUCUGGAAUUCCUGGUGUAGCGGUGAAAUGCGCAGAUAUCAGGAGGAACACCGGUGGCGAAGGCGGGACUCUGGGCCGAUACUGACGCUGAGGAGCGAAAGCGUGGGGAGCAAACGGG